UACGAAGGGGGCUAGCGUUGUUCGGAAUUACUGGGCGUAAAGCGUAUGCAGGCGGAUCGUUAAGUCGGGGGUGAAAUCCCGAGGCUCAACCUCGGAACUGCCUUCGAUACUGGCGACCUUCGAAUCCGGAAGAGGUGAGUGGAAUUCCUGGUGUAGCGGUGAAAUGCGCAGAUAUCAGGAGGAACACCAAUGGCGAAGGCAGCUCACUGGGACGGUAUUGACGCUGAGACGCGAAAGCGUGGGGAGCAAACAGG
rnacentral:rRNA from 1 species